CAACCAGACUCCUACGGGAGGCAGCAGUGGGGGAUAUUGCACAAUGGGGGGAACCCUGAUGCAGCGACGCCGCGUGGGUGAAGGAGCGUUUCGGCGCGUAAAGCCCUAUCGGCAGGGAAGAAGGAGGACGGUACCUGACUAAGAAGCCCCGGCUAACUACGUGCCAGCAGCCGCGGUAAUACGUAGGGGGCAAGCGUUAUCCGGAUUUACUGGGUGUAAAGGGAGCGUAGACGGCUGUGCAAGCCAGAUGUGAAAGCCCGGGGCUCAACCCCGGGACUGCAUUUGGAACUGUGUGGCUGGAGUGUCGGAGAGGCAGGCGGAAUUCCUAGUGUAGCGGUGAAAUGCGUAGAUAUUAGGAGGAACACCAGUGGCGAAGGCGGCCUGUUGGACGAUGACUGACGUUGAGGCUCGAAAGCGUGGGGAGCAAACAGGAUUAGAUACCCCUGUAG
rnacentral:rRNA from 1 species